AUUGAACGCUAGCGGCAUGCCUUACACAUGCAAGUCGAACGGAGUGGCGAACGGGUGAGUAAUGUAUCGGAACGUGCCCCGGCGCGGGGGAUAAGUACGAGAAAGCGUAGCUAAUACCACAUACUAUUGGAGCGGCCGAUAUCGGAUUGGGUAGUGGGUGGGGUAAGGGCUCACAAAGGCGAAGAUCCGUAGCUGGUUUGAGAGGACGACAAGCCACACUGGGACUGAGACACGGCCCAGACUCCUACGGGAGGCAGCAGUGGGGAAUUUUGGACAAUGGGGGAAAGCCUGAUGCAGCCAUCCCGCGUGUGCGAUGAAGGCCUUCGGGUUGGAAAGCACUUUUGGCAGGAAAGCGGUACCUGCAGAAUAAGCACCGGCUAACUACGUGCCAGCAGCCGCGGUAAUUC
rnacentral:rRNA from 1 species